UACGUAGGGUGCGAGCGUUGUCCGGAAUUAUUGGGCGUAAAGAGCUUGUAGGUGGUUUGUCGCGUCUGCUGUGAAAAUCCGGGGCUCAACCCCGGACUUGCAGUGGGUACGGGCAGACUAGAGUGUGGUAGGGGAGACUGGAAUUCCUGGUGUAGCGGUGGAAUGCGCAGAUAUCAGGAGGAACACCGAUGGCGAAGGCAGGUCUCUGGGCUGUAACUGACGCUGAGGAGCGAAAGCAUGGGGAGCGAACAGG
rnacentral:rRNA from 1 species